GGGAACUACGAGCCAAGCUUAAAACCCAAAGGACUUGACGGUACCCCAUAUCCACCUAGAGGAGCCUGUCCUAUAAUCGAUAACCCCCGUUUAACCUCACCAUCCCUAGUUUAUCAGCCUGUAUACCUCCGUCGUCAGCUUACCGCAUGAGCGUUAGUGGGCUCAAAGUUUUUUCAACUAUACGUCAGGUCAAGGUGCAACAUAUGGAAUGGAAAGAGAUGGGCUACACUUUCUACUAUUAGACCACACGAAAAACUACUUAUGAAACCUAGUUAGAAG
rnacentral:rRNA from 1 species